AUUGAACGCUGGCGGAAUGCUUUACACAUGCAAGUCGAACGGCAGCACGGGGCAACCUGGUGGCGAGUGGCGAACGGGUGAGUAAUACAUCGGAACGUGCCCAAUCGUGGGGGAUAACGUAGCGAAAGUUACGCUAAUACCGCAUACGAUCUACGGAUGAAAGCGGGGGAUCGCAAGACCUCGCGCGAGUGGAGCGGCCGAUGUCAGAUUAGGUAGUUGGUGGGGUAAAGGCUCACCAAGCCAACGAUCUGUAGCUGGUCUGAGAGGACGACCAGCCACACUGGAACUGAGACACGGUCCAGACUCCUACGGGAGGCAGCAGUGGGGAAUUUUGGACAAUGGGCGGAAGCCUGAUCCAGCCAUGCCGCGUGAGUGAAGAAGGCCUCGG
rnacentral:rRNA from 1 species